rnacentral:tRNA from 1 species
UCGGAAGGUGCGGCUGGAUCACCUCCUUUCUAAGGAAUAUGCAGUCCUUGUGGACUGAUAAAACGUUGAUGUUACUUGUUUGUUUAGUUUUGAGAGUUCGAUCUCUCUUUUAUACUUCGUAAUGAGGGCCUAUAGCUCAGCUGGUUAGAGCGCACGCCUGAUAAGCGUGAGGUCGAUGGUUCGAGUCCAUUUAGGCCCACCAUUCUCAAUACGGGGCCUUAGCUCAGCUGGGAGAGCGCCUGCUUUGCACGCAGGAGGUCAGCGGUUCGAUCCCGCUAGGCUCCACCAAUAAAAAGAUAGUUAAUACUAUCAAAUAAAACAUUUGCUCCUGCGCCAUAGCGUAUUUGAAGGUGUAAUCCUUCAGCUCGUCGCAAGGCAGCAUGAUGUAAAGCUCUGAAGUUUAAUCACGAUGUGAUUGAAAUCAGUAGCCUCGUUCCUUGAAAACUAGAUAAUCGUAAGAAGAAGCAAUAGUGAAACCAUAGUAAUCGCCAUUUAGUAAGAACCUUUCAGGUUAAGUUAGAAAGGGCGCAC